CCCUUAGAUGUUCUGGGCCGCACGCGCGCUACAAUGGCAGACUCAGCGAGUUACCUCUGUCGAAAGGCACAGGGAAUCUUUACAGUACCUGCCGUGAUGGGGAUAGACCCUUGUAAUUUUUGGUCUUCAACGAGGAAUUCCUAGUAAACGCAAGUCAUUAACUUGCAUUGAUUACGUCCCUGCCCUUUGUACACACCGCCCGUCGCACCUACCGAUUGAAUGGUCCGGUGAAGUCCUCGGACCCAGUUGAACCUCGAGUUGAACAGGGAAAGUUGACUAAAUCUUACCAUUUAGAGGAAGGUGAAGUCGUAACA
rnacentral:rRNA from 1 species